rnacentral:rRNA from 1 species
GGGUUGUGAGGUUAAGCGACUAAGCGUACACGGUGGAUGCCCUGGCAGUCAGAGGCGAUGAAGGACGUGCUAAUCUGCGAUAAGCGUCGGUAAGGUGAUAUGAACCGUUAUAACCGGCGAUUUCCGAAUGGGGAAACCCAGUGUGAUUCGUCACACUAUCAUUAACUGAAUCCAUAGGUUAAUGAGGCGAACCGGGGGAACUGAAACAUCUAAGUACCCCGAGGAAAAGAAAUCAACCGAGAUUCCCCCAGUAGCGGCGAGCGAACGGGGAGGAGCCCAGAGCCUGAAUCAGUGUGUGUGUUAGUGGAAGCGUCUGGAAAGGCGCGCGAUACAGGGUGACAGCCCCGUACACAAAAAUGCACAUGCUGUGAGCUCGAUGAGUAGGGCGGGACACGUGGUAUCCUGUCUGAAUAUGGGGGGACCAUCCUCCAAGGCUAAAUACUCCUGACUGACCGAUAGUGAACCAGUACCGUGAGGGAAAGGCGAAAAGAACCCCGGCGAGGGGAGUGAAAAAGAACCUGAAACCGUGUACGUACAAGCAGUGGGAGCCUCUUUAUGGGGUGACUGCGUACCUUUUGUAUAAUGGGUCAGCGACUUAUAUUCUGUAGCAAGGUUAACCGAAUAGGGGAGCCGAAGGGAAACCGAGUCUUAACUGGGCGUUAAGUUGCAGGGUAUAGACCCGAAACCCGGUGAUCUAGCCAUGGGCAGGUUGAAGGUUGGGUAACACUAACUGGAGGACCGAACCGACUAAUGUUGAAAAAUUAGCGGAUGACUUGUGGCUGGGGGUGAAAGGCCAAUCAAACCGGGAGAUAGCUGGUUCUCCCCGAAAGCUAUUUAGGUAGCGCCUCGUGAAUUCAUCUCCGGGGGUAGAGCACUGUUUCGGCAAGGGGGUCAUCCCGACUUACCAACCCGAUGCAAACUGCGAAUACCGGAGAAUGUUAUCACGGGAGACACACGGCGGGUGCUAACGUCCGUCGUGAAGAGGGAAACAACCCAGACCGCCAGCUAAGGUCCCAAAGUCAUGGUUAAGUGGGAAACGAUGUGGGAAGGCCCAGACAGCCAGGAUGUUGGCUUAGAAGCAGCCAUCAUUUAAAGAAAGCGUAAUAGCUCACUGGUCGAGUCGGCCUGCGCGGAAGAUGUAACGGGGCUAAACCAUGCACCGAAGCUGCGGCAGCGACACUAAGUGUUGUUGGGUAGGGGAGCGUUCUGUAAGCCUGUGAAGGUGUACUGUGAGGUAUGCUGGAGGUAUCAGAAGUGCGAAUGCUGACAUAAGUAACGAUAAAGCGGGUGAAAAGCCCGCUCGCCGGAAGACCAAGGGUUCCUGUCCAACGUUAAUCGGGGCAGGGUGAGUCGACCCCUAAGGCGAGGCCGAAAGGCGUAGUCGAUGGGAAACAGGUUAAUAUUCCUGUACUUGGUGUUACUGCGAAGGGGGGACGGAGAAGGCUAUGUUGGCCGGGCGACGGUUGUCCCGGUUUAAGCGUGUAGGCUGGUUUUCCAGGCAAAUCCGGAAAAUCAAGGCUGAGGCGUGAUGACGAGGCACUACGGUGCUGAAGCAACAAAUGCCCUGCUUCCAGGAAAAGCCUCUAAGCAUCAGGUAACAUCAAAUCGUACCCCAAACCGACACAGGUGGUCAGGUAGAGAAUACCAAGGCGCUUGAGAGAACUCGGGUGAAGGAACUAGGCAAAAUGGUGCCGUAACUUCGGGAGAAGGCACGCUGAUAUGUAGGUGAAGCGACUUGCUCGUGGAGCUGAAAUCAGUCGAAGAUACCAGCUGGCUGCAACUGUUUAUUAAAAACACAGCACUGUGCAAACACGAAAGUGGACGUAUACGGUGUGACGCCUGCCCGGUGCCGGAAGGUUAAUUGAUGGGGUUAGCGCAAGCGAAGCUCUUGAUCGAAGCCCCGGUAAACGGCGGCCGUAACUAUAACGGUCCUAAGGUAGCGAAAUUCCUUGUCGGGUAAGUUCCGACCUGCACGAAUGGCGUAAUGAUGGCCAGGCUGUCUCCACCCGAGACUCAGUGAAAUUGAACUCGCUGUGAAGAUGCAGUGUACCCGCGGCAAGACGGAAAGACCCCGUGAACCUUUACUAUAGCUUGACACUGAACAUUGAGCCUUGAUGUGUAGGAUAGGUGGGAGGCUUUGAAGUGUGGACGCCAGUCUGCAUGGAGCCGACCUUGAAAUACCACCCUUUAAUGUUUGAUGUUCUAACGUUGGCCCCUGAUCGGGGUUGCGGACAGUGUCUGGUGGGUAGUUUGACUGGGGCGGUCUCCUCCUAAAGAGUAACGGAGGAGCACGAAGGUUGGCUAAUCCUGGUCGGACAUCAGGAGGUUAGUGCAAUGGCAUAAGCCAGCUUGACUGCGAGCGUGACGGCGCGAGCAGGUGCGAAAGCAGGUCAUAGUGAUCCGGUGGUUCUGAAUGGAAGGGCCAUCGCUCAACGGAUAAAAGGUACUCCGGGGAUAACAGGCUGAUACCGCCCAAGAGUUCAUAUCGACGGCGGUGUUUGGCACCUCGAUGUCGGCUCAUCACAUCCUGGGGCUGAAGUAGGUCCCAAGGGUAUGGCUGUUCGCCAUUUAAAGUGGUACGCGAGCUGGGUUUAGAACGUCGUGAGACAGUUCGGUCCCUAUCUGCCGUGGGCGCUGGAGAACUGAGGGGGGCUGCUCCUAGUACGAGAGGACCGGAGUGGACGCAUCACUGGUGUUCGGGUUGUCAUGCCAAUGGCACUGCCCGGUAGCUAAAUGCGGAAGAGAUAAGUGCUGAAAGCAUCUAAGCACGAAACUUGCCCCGAGAUGAGUUCUCCCUGACUCCUUGAGAGUCCUGAAGGAACGUUGAAGACGACGACGUUGAUAGGCCGGGUGUGUAAGCGCAGCGAUGCGUUGAGCUAACCGGUACUAAUGAACCGUGAGGCUUAACCUUACAACGCCGAAGGUGUUU